rnacentral:rRNA from 1 species
UACGGAGGGUGCGAGCGUUGUCCGGAAUCACUGGGCGUAAAGGGCGCGUAGGCGGCCUGAUAAGUAGGGGUGAAAUCCUGCGGCUUAACCGCAGGGCUGCCUUCUAAACUGUCGGGCUAGAGCACGGUAGAGGCAGAUGGAAUUCCCGGUGUAGCGGUGGAAUGCGUAGAGAUCGGGAAGAACAUCAGUGGCGAAGGCGGUCUGCUGGGCCGUUGCUGACGCUGAGGCGCGACAGCGUGGGGAGGCAAACAGG